rnacentral:rRNA from 1 species
AUUGAACGCUGGCGGCAUGCUUUACACAUGCAAGUCGAACGGCAGCGCGGGCUUCGGCCUGGCGGCGAGUGGCGAACGGGUGAGUAAUGCAUCGGAACGUGCCCAGUAGUGGGGGAUAGCCCGGCGAAAGCCGGAUUAAUACCGCAUACGACCUGAGGGGGAAAGCGGGGGACCGAAAGGCCUCGCGCUAUUGGAGCGUCCGAUGUCGGAUUAGCUAGUUGGUGGGGUAAAGGCUUACCAAGGCGACGAUCCGUAGCUGGUCUGAGAGGACGACCAGCCACACUGGGACUGAGACACGGCCCAGACUCCUACGGGAGGCAGCAGUGGGGAAUUUUGGACAAUGGGGGAAACCCUGAUCCAGCCAUGCCGCGUGCGGGAAGAAGGCCUUCGGGUUGUAAACCGCUUUUGUUCGGGAAGAAAUCCUCUGGGCUAAUACCCCGGGGGGAUGACGGUACCGGAAGAAUAAGCACCGGCUAACUACGUG